GGCGAAUCUGACAUUUGAGAUGGAGAAGGUGAGAGCCGAGCUGAAACAUGUUCGGAGAUGUAUGCUAUGGCUCAAACCGAGACUGUUGAUGCCUCUCAAAAGCUAACUGAGCUAAACCAGCGAAAAUAUGAGGAGUCAGAGAAGCUUAUGGAGCUAAAAGAAAAGGAAGAACUAGCUAAAGAUACAGCUUCAAAGGAGAAGCAGAGGUACGAAGAUACUAUGAAGGAGGCAGAGAAGGUUAAAGAACUCAUGAUGAAAGAGGCUUUACGUAGAAGAGAAGCUGAGAUCAAAGCAGAGCGUGAUGCUAAAGAGAAAGAUGAGCUCCAGGCUUCUCUCGUCUGUCCCGGGAUCCAAUACCAAUACUACUCAUGGGAUUAGGUGGUCAUCGAACGAGCCAUAAAAACCAACGGUUGAAGAUUUGAGACAAGAAUGAUCAAGACCGACGUUAUGAAUGUGAAGUCUGUGGCAGAGUAUUUGAAUCUGGUCAAGCACUUGGUGGUCACAAGAAGGUUCAUUACAUUAAAUGUAAUUAGGUUCGGUUAUGUUUGGUUAGUCGACUUCAACCGAGUAACAUAGAACCUAUGACAAGUUAAAAAAAAAAAAAAAACAUAGAACCUAUGAAUUGUGGAAUUUGGGUGAUUAACUGAUAUGGAUGAACAAAUAAUGCAUUAUGCUCUAUAUGUUUAUGUUGUUGUGCCCUUUUUAGUUUAUUUUCUCUAUUUUAUAAAUAAGACUUUUGUUAAAGUUCGUAUUUUGUUUUCAUUUUUCGUACCUUUAAGUUUUUUUUUCUUUAUAAUAAUAAAAUUUGGUUACAGUUUAUGUGUUUUUCAUAAAAUUGCUUAUACAGAAUAUACAUUUCUUUCAGAAUUUAAUUUCAGCAGAAAAUUGCGAAAUACAAAAUUUGUAAAUGUUGAUGCAGUGAUUCUAUAUCGUUUAGAGAAAUCCACAUGAUUAAAGAAUGUCUCAUAAUUCAUACAUAGUACAUGGUUAAAGACCAUUCAUAAUUCAUAGUAAUAUUGUGUUAGUCAAACAUCAAGACUAAAACAUUAAUGGUACAUAUUAUUAUGUUUUAUUUAGAAGAUUUUCUAUAUUUAAUAUAUCUACGUGUCAAUUUACAAAUUAAUCAGAAUUUAUGUUUUUGUUUGACUAAGUGAAGUCAAAGAUAUUCAAUCCAAAUAUAUACAUUGAUUAGUAUACGAAGUAAAGAACUGCAUAAUAAUUAGUGGUAAGACUAAGAAUUUACGUUAAAUGGAAAUAUCAUCAAAUGAAGUCGCGUAGCUUGAUUGUUUCUUUGCAUUUAUGUUAAUAAAAAUGAAAUUGAUACUAAUGUUGACUCCUUUCAAAGAAGUUGGAGUUCACAUGUUAAGUGUUCCAAAAUCGUUUUGAGUUGUACAUCGACUACGCUGAAAUAAAACGGGCCGAUAAUGGGUAAAAGACUUAAAGACCCACAUACUGACAGUUACUCUAACUAGCCCGAGAAAUGUAGGAGUUUGGUUGACUUGAUCCUCUCCAAACAAAAUGUAAAACAUUUCACUCAUACACAAAAGCAGAAGUACACUCAUAUAUACUCACUCCCUAACACCCUUCAAAAAAAGAAAAAAAAAAGCUACAAUCACAUAAAACAACAUAUACGAAGAGAUAUAUAUCAACAAUCACACCCCAAUAUAUUGACCACAAACAUAUUCGCAUUUAGCAUCAGUAACAUUACCAAGAACGAUCACAUCAUCUCCGAUCAUCUCCCUAGCUCUUCGGCUUUGCUUCUUGAAGAAACAACACAUCUCUCAUUGGCGACGUUCUGCUGGAUUACGACUUGGCCAACAAACACUAAUCAGUUUACAAAAACACACAUCCGAACAGAUUUAAUAUACAUGGCCCAUGCUUUUAUUUUUGUCAUGUUGUAAGCACAGCAAUGCCUUAGCUUGAAGUUAUGAGCACAUUAAAAAGACAAUAAUGCAUUAUCAUUAACCUAGUGAAUUCUAAACACUUUCAGUGUUGUUAAUAAGAUUAAAUCUUAUCGUUUCGAGUUUCAUUACAUUCCAUCAUGGAGGUCUUGUCAAGAAGAGCGACAGCAUGAACAAGGAUAGUGUGCUCACGUUUGGAGUAUUAUUCUUUUUUUUUUUUUUUUUUUGGUAACAAUGUUAAGAUUUAUUACCCUUUUCAAAUUUGAGACAGAACUACAAAGGAAACUAGAAACAGAAGAUUCAAGAAUUGAAACUAAACACCAACUCAAUCUAAAGCUACACAAGGCCAAAACUACGAGUGCAACAACAAUACCAAAGGCUACACCAAACUCAGCACAAAACACUUGCCGCAAAAUUUAGAACCACAGUUAACCCGAGAACUGAACCCGGUAGAUUUGGCGAUACCCGGUGAUCAGUUCUUAAUGAUUGGCUCCUCAAGAACAGCUCAUGAAAGGCCUUCUUAUCGGCAGCCACCAUGGACAAAGAGCAACACUCGAGCAAAGCGCACCCGCAAAGACAUUAGAAAAGCUUUAUUUGGAGAGAAAGACCACCAGAGACGCCACGAACACCACCGAACCUGCAAUGAAGAAGACAGAACCAAGCUAGCACCGCUUUGAGUCGAAAACGGUCAGGAACAAGCCCUAGAUCCAGCCCUGAAACUAGCCGGAAACAACACGUGCUGCCACCGGGGAAGAAGAACCAUGGUUGAGAAGACCGACGAUGCUCAUCCCCACACGCGCCCGCGGCGGAGAACCCGCAACAGGUCAACCCACACAGAACCGACAGCUCUCCGAUGAGUCCUUCAGGAACCGCCUCACAGAUCUAAGCGUGUACGCCAUCGGACCCCAACAACGGCACGGACCAAGAAAGGCGGUACCCCCGAGGAGAAGGAGGAGACGAGGAGACGAGGAAGGAGGGAACCCGCUUCCGUCAAACUAGAUCUGACACCAGAUCUAAGCUUCAGCCGCCACAGAACUCAACCCAAGGAAUCGCUAACCAGAGCCCCAUCACCUAGCCUCGCUGCUACUCCAAGGCAGAGAACGCCAGAUCUACACCGCGGUGGCGAAAGCCUCAGAACAGGACAGCAAAGAAGCCAGGAAGAUGAGGGAGAUGAGCGACGAGAGAAGAAGGAAA